UCGCGGCGCCUGCGCGUAAUGACGAGAUUCUGUUUAGAGUUCUACCACAAAUCAACAAGAGGAUCGACAUUAAACUAAGUGGGAUCAUUAAACAAGGGGGAAGAUGAACAAUCGCCUCUCUCUCAAAGCAAAUGACAGGAUCAUUUAUGAAAUGGCAACAAAGGAAUGAACAAAAGUCAUGAGUUACACACUGAAGAAAAGAGAGGGAAAUAAACACAAAGUGGGCCGAAAGGAGAGGAAGUGAGAAAGAAAGAGGAAGAGAAACACAUCUACAGACAGAGGGGUUAUUAGAGCAACCGUUCAUCAGUUUACACUGCAGGUUGAGAAACGUCACACUCCUCGUGGGUUUAACCACUAGGCCUACUAUUAUGACAACUCGUGUUAGUGUGCUAUGAACUCAAAUUCUACUGCUAUUAUUUCUACUAUGGCCACCACUACCACUUCAAGAAUGAGUUGUUUGAAACGUCAUAAAAUGUGUCAUCUGUAACUUCUUCUGAUACUGCAAGUCAUUCUAUAGACAGUCUAAUGUUCUUCUACAUUUAGAUUUACAUUUAGGUCAUUUAACAGAGGCUCUUAUCCAGAGUAACACAAGUCUUCCAUCCUAAAAAAUACGUUUAAAAAACUUGUUGAGAAGGGGAGUUAACCAGUAUAUUUUCUGAUAAAAAAAGUGCAGUUUGAAUUGGAAUGCCACGCCUUAUCUCUCCCACCCAGCACUUCUUUCUAGUGAUACAGCUACUUUUCAGCCAGACACACUCAAAUACUCAAAACAACUAUCAAGAGGGAUAGAGAGAGAGAGAGAGAGAGAGAGAGAGAGCGAGGGAGAGAGAGAGAGAGAGAGAGAGAGAGAGAGGAGAGAGAGAGAGAGGGAGAGAGCGAGGGAGAGAGAGCGAGGGAGAGCGAGAGCGAGGGAGAGAGAGAGAGAGAGAGAGAGAGAGAGAGAGAGGGAGAGAGAGAGGGAGGGCGUAUAGAAAAGUAAGACGAGUCAGAGGAUAGAAAAAGGGUCUCUUUGAAUACAGUCGCCCACCAACCCCACAUUAAUAAGACAACAAGAACAGUCCUUUGAGUGACAGUUAAACAGGCAGCCAGUCAGUCAGUCAGUCAGAGCAGGGAGUCAGCCAGGCAGGUAGCUAUCAGUCGGUCAGCCAUCCAGUCAGAGCAGGGAGUCAGUCAGGCAGGUAGCUAUCAGUCGGUCAGCCAGCCAGUCAGAGCAGGGAGUCAGCCAGGCAGGUAGCUAUCAGUCGGUCAGCAAUCCAGUCAGUCAGUCUGUUAAUCAGUGAGCAUGCUGGGAUGCGGUGGGGGUGGAGUGGGGUUGCGGUACAGGCUGACCCUGGCCACAGGGCUGGUGGAGUGUCUGUGUUUUGCCGGCGUGGUCUUCGGCUGGGCAUCGCUGGUCUUCGUCCUGAAGACAGAUGGAUACUUCACUGACCUGUGUGUCAAUCUGACUACUGGACCCAACAGUACAGUGGAAACAGACUGUAGUGGACAGGAUGAACAGUUCUCUCUGGUCUUCACCGUCACCUCCUUCAUGAACAACUUCCUCACGCUUCCCAACGGAUUCAUCUUCGACCGCUUCGGCACCAUGGCAACGAGGCUUCUGGGAAUAUGUCUCUACACCACUUUAUGUACCUCUGCUCUGUAUUCCCCUCAGAUGUCUCUACACCUCUUUAUGUACCUCUGCUCUGUAUUCCCCUCAGAUGUCUCUCCACCUCUUUAUGUACCUCUGCUCUGUAUUCCCCUCAGAUGUCUCUACACCUCUUUAUGUACCUCUGCUCUGUAUUCCCCUCAGAUGUCUCUCCACCUCUUUAUGUACCUCUGCUCUGUAUUCCCCUCAGAUGUCUCUACACCUCUUUAUGUACCUCUGCUCUGUAUUCCCCUCAGAUGUCUCUACACCACUGGUACACUGAUGGUUGCCUUCUCCAGUUCAGCUCUGUCCAUGCUGCUGUUCCCAGCCCUGUCUUUCAUCGCAGUGGGAGGUAUAUUGUUCCUCAUCACAAACAUACAGGUUGGGAACCUAUUUGGCUCCCAUCGUUCCACCAUCAUCACCCUCUAUAAUGGAGCCUUCGACUCUUCCUCGGCUGUCUUCCUCAUCAUCAAGGUGAUGUAUGAAGGAGGGGUCUCCCUCCGCUCCUCCUUCCUCAUUCUCUCUGUCUGCAGUGUCAUCCACCUCCUCAGGACGUUCUUCCUCAUGCCCAACACCCACAUUCCCUACCCACUCCCUGAGGGCUUCACCUAUGGCGUAAGCCCUGGAAAGUCCAACAGCUACAACGUAGAGGAGAUUGAGAAGACGCGAGAGACGGGGAUGACAUCGGAGGGGGAGGGGCCAGCUGAGACCGACGACAUGCCCCUACAGCCUGAUGAUGGGCAGCAGUCGGAAGACUCUGGGAAAGGUGUCGUUUGGCCAACUACAAUCUUUAAUCUGGCUGGGGAAUGGAAGGUGCUUUUUGUUGACUCAAAUGUUUUUCUCUCUCUCUCUCAGUGGCCAGUUUCAGGAGCUGUGUGCAGUCGUGGUUCUUCCUGUGGCAUCUGGUGUGGCUGUCUGUCAUGCAGCUGAGACACUACCUCUUCAUCGGAACACUGAACCCCAUGCUCAACCGGCUGGCCGACAACGACUCAGCUCUGGUGAGUCAGUACACCAAUGCCUUUGCCUUCACCCAGCUGUGUGGGGUCCUCUGUGCUCCCUGGAACGGCCUCAUCAUGGACAGACACAAGGGGAAGCCUCUGGCUCCAGG